CCUUUCGGAGCUCCAGCCUGCCCCUCCUGACGCUCUCAGAGUCUGGCCUUCUGCUGGGCCCCGGGUCUCUCACUGGCAGAAUGGAGUUCUCGGAGCUGAUCCAUACGGGCUGAGCCCAAGCAGAGUUUCUACGGGGCCCGGAGGCGCCCCCGCUUCGCGGCACGGUGUGAGUCACCGUCCACCACCUGCUCCUGUCGCCAGGGCCCGCGUCCUCUCCGGACCUGUGGCUGCUGCUGUUGCGUAGCGUCGACUCCUUCGAGAAGCAGAACGUCCCUCCCCAGGGUUGCGAGUGACUCGGGCACCAUCACCCUGUGCUGUAAAGACCUGCGAGUGCUGCAGCUGGAAAUAGAGGGCGCGGAAGCGACGCUGGGCAUCGCCCGCUCCAUCGAGACCAACGCGUGGCGGCUGAGCGAGGUUCUGCUACGCUCCAGCCAGCCCCUAACUGGUCCCCAGAAGCGGCGCUGCUACAGGGACCAGGAGCUGCUGCGAACUGCGCUGGCGGGGGCUCGUCCUUGGGCGCGGGGCUUCAUCAUGGACACGCUCUCGGCCCAGGCCGCGAAACAAGCCCGCGUGACUGGCGGAGGCACAGAGACCAAGGCCGCUUAACCUGGCUGGUUGCACUGGUCCCUGGAGAGAGGGCGUCCCCUGCAGGAGAGCUUCAUGCGCCUGGUGGAGGCCUGUGGGGACUCGGAGCAAAGCAUGGACAACUGGCUGAGUCGGCUGGACGGCUGCCGCUGACUGUAACAUGUAAAGCAGGCACUGAGCACCACCUGCCUGGCAGUCCAGGGCAUGGAGAGGCACAGACAGCACCCUGCUUGUGACUUCACUGGCCCAACUCAUCCUGGACCCCUUGAGCAAGACCAUGGCUGGAUUCCAGGAACUGGUGGAGUGGAAGUGGAUCCAGGAAAAUGCCGUGUGAAGGGAGGACUCAGAUGCACUCCCUGUGGUCUGGGCUCAACCAGCCAAAAGAGCAACAAAGACUCCAGAACCCACUCUACCUCCUCAAUCCCUUGGCCAUCUGUGGAGCCCCAGAGCCUGCGGCUGUGGCAAGGCCUGUUUCUGCGCUGGACCUGCUCACCUGAGCCUGCAGAAGCUGCAUGGGGGAAGAGUGUGGCAAAUAGUGACAGGAAGGGAGAAGACAGAAGCCUCUCAGCCAACUGCUUCAGCCGAGCCCCUAUUCUAAGCACUGGCUCCUUGGAUAGCAGCUGAGAUGUUCCUGAAACCUCUGCAGGCCCCUUAGGACCUUUACACCUUGGAUGAGGGUGCCUGCAACCCAGGUUAGCCAAAAGUACUGAGGGUCUUAAGUUUGAAGUGUCCAAAGUAUAGGGAGGUCUCAAUAAUAAAAGUCUCCAUGAUCAGCA
rnacentral:lncRNA from 1 species